UACGUAGGGCGCAAGCGUUGUCCGGAAUUAUUGGGCGUAAAGAGCUCGUAGGCGGCCUGUUGCGUCCGCUGUGAAAUCCCGGGGCUCAACCCCGGGCGUGCAGUGGAUACGGGCUGGCUGGAGGCAGGCAGGGGAGAACGGAAUUCCUGGUGUAGCGGUGAAAUGCGCAGAUAUCAGGAGGAACACCAGUGGCGAAGGCGGUUCUCUGGGCAUUACCUGACGCUGAGGAGCGAAAGUGUGGGGAGCGAACAGG
rnacentral:rRNA from 1 species